rnacentral:rRNA from 1 species
AGCAGUCGCCGCGGUAAUACAGAGGGUGCAAGCGUUAAUCGGAAUUACUGGGCGUAAAGCGCGCGUAGGUGGUUUGUUAAGUCGGAUGUGAAAUCCCCGGGCUCAACCUGGGAACUGCAUCCGAAACUGGCAAGCUAGAGUAUGGUAGAGGGUAGUGGAAUUUCCUGUGUAGCGGUGAAAUGCGUAGAUAUAGGAAGGAACACCAGUGGCGAAGGCGACUACCUGGACUGAUACUGACACUGAGGUGCGAAAGCGUGGGGAGCAAACAGGAUUAGAUACCCGCGUAGUCCCUGUCUCUUAUAC